rnacentral:rRNA from 1 species
AUUGAACGCUGGCGGUAUGCUUAACACAUGCAAGUCGAACGGUAGCAGGCCUUCGGGCGCUGACGAGUGGCGGACGGGUGAGUAAUGCAUAGGAAUCUGCCUAUUAGUGGGGGAUAACGUGGGGAAACUCACGCUAAUACCGCAUACGCCCUACGGGGGAAGGCGGGGGACUUUCGGGCCUCGCGCUAAUAGAUGAGCCUAUGUUGGAUUAGCUAGUUGGUAGGGUAAAGGCCUACCAAGGCGACGAUCCAUAGCUGGUCUGAGAGGAUGAUCAGCCACACUGGGAAUAGGACACGGACCAGACUCCUACGGGAGGCAGCAGUGGGGAAUAUUGGACAAUGGGCGAAAGCCUGAUCCAGCAAUACCGCGUGUGUGAAGAAGGCCUGAGGGUUGUAAAGCACUUUCAAUGGGAAGGAAUACCUACCGGCCAAUACCCGGUAGACUGACAUUACCCAUACAAGAAGCACCGGCUAACUCCGUGCCAGCAGCCGCAGUAAUAC